rnacentral:rRNA from 1 species
AUUGAACGCUGGCGGCAGGCCUAACACAUGCAAGUCGAGCGGAUGAAGGGAGCUUGCUCCUGGAUUCAGCGGCGGACGGGUGAGUAAUGCCUAGGAAUCUGCCUGGUAGUGGGGGAUAACGUCCGGAAACGGGCGCUAAUACCGCAUACGUCCUGAGGGAGAAAGUGGGGGAUCUUCGGACCUCACGCUAUCAGAUGAGCCUAGGUCGGAUUAGCUAGUUGGUGGGGUAAAGGCCUACCAAGGCGACGAUCCGUAACUGGUCUGAGAGGAUGAUCAGUCACACUGGAACUGAGACACGGUCCAGACUCCUACGGGAGGCAGCAGUGGGGAAUAUUGGACGAUGGGCGAAAGCCUGAUCCAGCCAUGCCGCGUGUGUGAAGAAGGUCUUCGGAUUGUAAAGCACUUUAAGUUGGGAGGAAGGGCAGUAAGUUAAUACCUUGCUGUUUUGACGUUACCAACAGAAUAAGCACCGGCUAACUUCGU